UAUCAGAGUCUUGGGUCCUUGUGU
rnacentral:miRNA from 2 species